AUGGACGCCRGUCUUUCCCGAGGCGGAGCCACCACCAACCCUCGAGCCCUCCCGCAUCCCUCUCCCGCCCGGCAAAGCCGGAGCGCCCCGGCGAGUGCCCUGCUCAUCCCCGGCCGCCCUCCCCUCUCCCGCCUCGUUACCCCGGCAGUUGUUAUUAAUUUUCCUUGCGUUGCCAGGCAUGGCCCAAGCCGGCAACGAGUCGGAGCAGGGCAAGGCAUGAAUCACCCGAGCGGCCCGCGGCGCCGCGGCUCCUCUCCCACCGCUGGAAUCCGCGUCUGCCCCGCCGCGGGAGGAGACUUUCGCUCCUUCGCCGCGGCACCUCCCCGUCUCAGCUUCGCUGCCAGCGAAACAGCGCUCACCCCCCUCGGCAGGGCCCGCGGAGGGCUGCGGGGCGCCCGUCCCGCGGCAGAGCCCGUCCCGCCGGGUGCGCGCAGCCCCGGCACGCGCGGGUGUCCCGCGAUCCCGCAGCUCCUUCACCCCGUGGAGCCGGGCGGACGCGCGGCUAGGGACGCGCUCGCCCUCUCCUCGCAAAGCUGCUGCCGCGGCGCGGGACACCCCCGGGGAUCCUCACCUGCGGGGCGCCCGUCCGUCUGUCCGUCCGUCCGUCUGUCCGUGCGCGGGGCCGGUGCUGCCGGCGGCGUCUCCCUGCCGCGGCGAGCGCAUCGCCCGGUGCCGCGCGAUUCACCCCUGGGCUCUCGCAGCGAGGAGGAGAUUCCCAUCGGGAACCGUUCCCGGGGAGGGACCGGGUUUGCGGCAGGGCCCCGCGUGCCCCAUUGGCUGCCGGGUUUCCCGGGGCGAAGGGCGGCCGUGGCGCCCUCCUCCACGCCGGCUGGGGCCCGGGAGCCCUCCGGGAGCCAAGGCGCCACCUGGGAGCGAGGAUUUUGGGGGCGGCUCCGGAGCAGCACGGAGCGGGCGCCGGGGACGAGGCUGGGAAACCGUCCCCGCGAGCAGGCGAUGCCGCUGGGGCGGGGAGCCCAGGUAGGACUGAAACCGCCCGAGGAGCGAACGCGGGUUUCAUUUGCAAUUCCACUGGGUUUUUUUWAA
rnacentral:lncRNA from 1 species